rnacentral:rRNA from 1 species
UACAGAGGGGGCAAGCGUUGUUCGGACUUACUGGGCGUAAAGGGCGCGUAGGCGGCCUGCUAAGUCGAACGUGAAAUCCCCGGGCUCAACCCGGGAACUGCGUCCGAUACUGGCAGGCUUGAAUUCGGGAGAGGGAUGCGGAAUUCCAGGUGUAGCGGUGAAAUGCGUAGAUAUCUGGAGGAACACCGGUGGCGAAGGCGGCAUCCUGGACCGAAAUUGACACUGAUGAGCGAAAGCCAGGGGAGCAAACGGG